rnacentral:rRNA from 1 species
UACGAAGGGUGCAAGCGUUACUCGGAAUUACUGGGCGUAAAGCGUGCGUAGGUGGUGAGUUAAGUCUGAUGUGAAAUCCCCGGGCUCAACCUGGGAAUGGCAUUGGAUACUGGCUCGCUGGAGUGCGGUAGAAGGUGGUGGAAUUCCCGGUGUAGCAGUGAAAUGCGUAGAGAUCGGGAGGAACAUCUGUGGCGAAGGCGGCCACCUGGACCAGCACUGACACUGAGGCACGAAAGCGUGGGGAGCAAACAGG